UAAGUCCUAGCUAUUGUUCUUGAUUGAUUUUAAACCAAUUUCUCUUAAACCCUAAUUUAAAUUCUGUUUUGUUUUCUUUUUCUUAUAUUGUUUUAUUCACAAAAUCAAAUCAAAACCUCCUUGGUGUUGGUGUGUGUGUGGAAGUCCUUUGUUUUAAUUUUCAUUGCGUGACAUUGAUAAACAUCUCUUUAGAUCACAAUCUCUGUGGGAUCGACCUUUUCUUGCUUACUA
rnacentral:lncRNA from 1 species